rnacentral:rRNA from 1 species
CCUGACACUGGAUGGAGGAGUCUUGUAUUGGACUCUUCCUUUGGGGACACGAAGCCCGGGUGUUGCAUGGUUGUGUCAGCUCGUUUGUGAGAUUUAGGUUAAGUCCUGCAACGAGCGCAACCCUUGUAUAUAGUUGCCAAUAUUAAGUUAGGAACUCUAUAUAGACCGCCGUGGUUAACACGGAGGAAGGUGGGGAUGACGUCAAAUCAUCACGGCCCUUACGUUCUGGGCCACACCCGUGCUACAAUGGCUAUUACAAAGAGCAGCGAAACGGUAACGUAGAGCGAAUCUCAUAAAGAUAGUCUCAGUUCAGAUUGUGGGCUGCAACUCGCCCACAUGAAGCUGGAAUCGCUAGUAAUCGCGAAUCAGCAUGUCGCGGUGAAUACGUUCCCGGGUCUUGUACACACCGCCCGUCACGCCAUGGGAGUCGGAUAUGCCCGAAGUCAGUGACCCAACCGUAAGGAGGGAGCUGCCGAAGGUGGAGCCGAUGACUGGGGUGAAGUCGUAACAAGGUAGCCG